UGGCACAAACCCGUAGAUCCGAUCUUGUGGCAAAUCUAACAGCACAAGCUCGCUUCUGUGGGUCUUUGUCAC
rfam:Xiphophorus maculatus strain JP 163 A Contig170.67, whole genome shotgun sequence.